GACGAACGUUGGCGGCGUGCUUAAUACAUGCAAGUCAACUGAAGCAGUGGUAGCAAUCUCGCUGUGGAGGUGGCGCACGGGUGAGUAACACGUAGGUAAUCUGCCUUCAGGUCUGGCAUAACUCCGGGAAACCGGGGCUAAUAGCAGAUGAUGCAGCGGCUCGACAUCGAGACAGUUGUUAAAGCUAUGGCGCCUGAAGAUGAGCCUGCGUCUGAUUAGCUAGUUGGCGGGGUAACGGCCCACCAAGGCAACGAUCAGUAGCUGGUCUGAGAGGAUGAUCAGCCACACUGGAACUGAGACACGGUCCAGACUCCUACGGGAGGCAGCAGUAAGGAAGAUUGCUCAAUGGGAGAAAUCCUGAAGCAGCAACGCCGCGUGAGGGACGAAGGGCUUUUGCUUGUAAACCUCUGUAGUGAGAGAAAAAAAUCCCAAUCUUUGGGACAUGAUGGUAGCUCAAAAGUAAGCCCCGGCUAACUACGUG
rnacentral:rRNA from 1 species